GGGCCGUUAGCUCAGUUAGGUAGAGCAGCGGACUUUUAAUCCGUUGGUCACAGGUUCGAUUCCUGUACGGCCCACCA
rnacentral:tRNA from 1 species